rnacentral:rRNA from 1 species
ACUCAAAUGAAUUGACGGGGACCCGCACAAGCAGUGGAGCGUGUUGUUUAAUUCGAUACGAAGCGAAAAACCUCACCAGGGUUUGACAUGUAUCUGCAAAGCCUAUGAAAGUAGGCCUCCUUCGAGGGUGAUACACAGAUGCUGCAUGGCUGUCGUCAGCUCGUGGCGUGAGCUGUCCCCUUAAGUGGGUAAACGAGCGCAACCCUCACCGUAUGUUAAAUAGUUCAUACGGAACUGCCCUGACUUAUGUCAGGGAGGAAGGCGAGGAUGACGUCAAGUCAGCACGGUUCUUACACCCUGGGCUACAAACACCCUACAAUGGCGAAAAACAAUGAGCUGCAAGCUAGUAAUAGCAAGCUAAUCUCUGAAAUUUCGCCUCAGUUCAGAUUGAGGUCUGCAACUCGACCUCAUGAAGUCGGAAUUGCUAGUAAUCGCGGAUCAGCGGGCCGCGGUGAAUACGUUCUCGGGUCUUGUACACACCGCCCGU